rnacentral:rRNA from 1 species
GACGAACGCUGGCGGCGUGCUUAACACAUGCAAGUCGAACGCUGAAGCUCAGCUUUUGUUGGGUGGAUGAGUGGCGAACGGGUGAGUAACACGUGAGUAACCUGCCUCCUUCUUUGGGAUAACGCCCGGAAACGGGUGCUAAUACUGGAUAUUCACUGGUCUUCGCAUGGGGGUUGGUGGAAAGGGUUUUUCUGGUGGGGGAUGGGCUCGCGGCCUAUCAGCUUGUUGGUGGGGUGAUGGCCUACCAAGGCUUUGACGGGUAGCCGGCCUGAGAGGGUGACCGGUCACAUUGGGACUGAGAUACGGCCCAGACUCGUACGGGAGGCAGCAGUGGGGAAUAUUGCACAAUGGGCGCAAGCCUGAUGCAGCGACGCCGCGGGAGGGAUGGAGGCCUUCGGGUUGUGAACCUCUUUCGCUCAUGGUCAAGCCGCAACAAUGGUUGUGGUGAGGGUAGUGGGUAAAGAAGCGCCGGCUAACUACGUG